rnacentral:rRNA from 1 species
GAUGAACGCUGGCGGCGUGCCUAAUACAUGCAAGUCGAGCGAACGGACGAGAAGCUUGCUCCUCUGAUGUUAGCGGCGGACGGGUGAGUAACACGUGGAUAACCUACCUAUAAGACUGGGAUAACUUCGGGAAACCGGAGCUAAUACCGGAUAAUAUAUUGAACCGCAUGGUUCAAUAGUGAAAGACGGUCUUGCUGUCACUUAUAGAUGGAUCCGCGCUGCAUUAGCUAGUUGGUAAGGUAACGGCUUACCAAGGCAACGAUGCAUAGCCGACCUGAGAGGGGGAUCGGCCAAACUGGAAACGGAACCCGGUCCCGACUCCUUAGGGAGGCAACCGUAGGGAAUCUUCCGGCAUGGGCGGAAGCCUGAAGGGGCCACGGCGCGGGGAGGAUGAAGGUCUUCGGAUCGGAAAACUCUGUUAUUAGGGAAAAACAUAUGUGUAAGUAAAUGUGCAACGCUUGACGGGACCUAAACAGAAAGGCAACGCUAACCACGUG